CUUUCUUUCUUUUACUUGAACAUCUGCAACUUUCCUUCACUCCGUCUUCAUCAAGGAAAAUAUGCACCUGCUGCAUUAUAGUAAAAAAAAAAGGAUACUGUCCUAGGCAUUGGCUGAUGGGUCUCGCAAGAUGAUCACGCUCGCACAACAGUAUUGAUCAUAUGCCUCUGUUUCAAAAAAAACUGUGUAGAUCAUAUGCCAGCGCAAAUGAACGAAUGGAAGCUCGGGCCGGCCCUGAGUCUCGACCGCCGUCGUGCUUGCCGCGGCAUCCCGCGCGAAUAUGAAUUCAAUAGAGGUGCGGGCGCGGCGGAGACACACAUGGCGACGGCGUAGGGGAUGGCGCGGCCUCGUCUUCUAGGUAUGUUAUCCAUCCAUGUCUGCUAAUUUCCGUUCUUGGUAUUAUUUUCUGCUGAUACAAAUACUCAUGUUGAUUAUUGCUGGCAAUUUCUUUUUGCACACAAUUAAGCUUUUUAGUAGUAUUGAGUGAACACCAGGAAUAUAAAUAGUCUCAGGAAUUACAUAUGUUUUUAAGAUGCUUUGAAUAGUCGGCAUCACUGAAUUGUACAUCUAAAAUUCAUUUGCAUAAAUUGACUGAAGACUGUUACAAAUUUUGUAUCAUAUUCAGGUUAAGUUUAGUUCAUAUAUGCCAUUCAGUGAGCUUUGGUCGACCAUUCUUUUUUCUCCUAUAUUGUUCGUGAUCUCAUUAUGAACAAAAAUCCCAGUUUUUGUUUGGGUCAUCUUAAUCAAAUAGCCAUUGUACUUGAAUGCAAAAUAAGUUCAAAGUAGGCUAUUCAUUGUCAUCUUUCCAUAUUAUUAGUUCUAAUGUUUUUUGUAUUUGUAUAGUAUUGGGCGCUUACAUACAAUAU